AGUGAGAACCUGAACGCACCAUCAUGUUAGCAGGAAGUAUUAGCAAACAAAAUAAACAACAGUGAGUUUUGCGCUUCAAAGCUCGCCAUUUUGACAAUGGGCCUACACGAUGUGGGAAUGCUCAGACCCGGGUUAUGAGAAGCCAAAGUUCAGCCAACAAAGUCAUGUCUGAAAGCUGCAGAGAUGGAAACCUAACAGGACGAGGGAGGGAUUUAUAAGCCCAACCAGGACGCUCUCUGGCUCAUUUUCAGUGCUUCAAGCUGAUCUGGACAGAGAGAAGAGGAAAAAAGCCUAGGUGCUGUGCCUUUUUCAAAGGUUUCCAUUGAACGCACACCCUCCUGAAACUCCAGACAACAAUGCUUUAAAGAACGAAUCAAGAUGGAGAAUGUUUUUGAAAAGAUUGUGGCCUUGGUGAAGCAGCACCCAGCAGGGAUCCCCGUAAAGAAACUUGGUCUGUACUACCAGAAGACAUACCAUUGUAACCUAGCCAUAUCCGACCUGGGCUUCAAGUCCAAUGCUGCUCUGUUAGCUGCUUUGAAAGACGACUUGGUUGUCGAGAAACAAAUUGUGUUUCACAAGGACUACUACAAGUGCAAUAACGGAGCUGCAGGAACAAGUGCGGCUUGUGAAGCCACCGAACUAA